rnacentral:rRNA from 1 species
CACGUAGGGACCAAGCGUUGUCCGGAUUUAUUGGGCGUAAAGCGCUCGUAGGCGGUUCGGUAAGUCGGGUGUGAAACCUCCAGGCUCAACCUGGUGACGCCACCCGAUACUGCCGUGACUUGAGUUCGGUAGGGGAGCGGGGAAUUCCUGGUGUAGCGGUGAAAUGCGCAGAUAUCAGGAGGAACACCGGUGGCGAAGGCGCCGCUCUGGGCCGAAACUGACGCUGAGGAGCGAAAGCGUGGGGAGCAAACAGG